GCCAGGCAUGGGGGUGCGUGCCUGUAGUCCCAGCUACUCAGGAGGAUAAGGCUGGAGGAUCGCUUGAGUCUAGGAGUUCUGGACUGUAGUGUGCUAUGCUGAUCAGGUGCCCACACUAAGUUCAGCAUCAGUAUGGUGACCUCCCGGGAGCAGGGGACCGACCACCAAGUUGCCUAAGGAGGGGUGAACUGGCCCAGGUUGGAAACGGAACAGGUCAAAACUCCCAUGCUGAGCAUUAGUGGGAUCUCAUGCCUGUGAAUAGCCACUGUACUCCAGCCUGGGCAACGUAGCAAGUCCCCAUCUUAA
ensembl:misc_RNA Metazoa_SRP Metazoan signal recognition particle RNA